rnacentral:rRNA from 1 species
CCAAUAGCGUAUAUUAAAGUUGUUGCAGUUAAAAAGCUCGUAGUUGAAUUUCGAGAUCAGUACGCUGGUCGUGCCUUCGGUAUGCACUGGUGUCACUGGUUUCUCCCUUCUGAAGAACCGUCAUGUCAUUAAGUUGGUGUGGCGGGGAAUCAGGACUGUUACUUUGAAAAAAUUAGAGUGUUUAAAGCAGGCUCGCGCUUGAAUACAUUAGCAUGGAAUA